GUGAAUUUGUAGCCUCCAAGGCUCACAUUCUCUAUCCUUUACACACCUGUGCACCCUUCUGAAGCGGAGAGUUGCGCCUCCCUUCGGUUAAUAUAUCAACCUUAAACUACGUUUACUAGAAUGUAUACCGUCUUGUUGUAACGACAAGUACAAUCCAAUA
rnacentral:misc_RNA from 1 species